UACGUAGGGGGCAAGCGUUGUCCGGAUUUAUUGGGCGUAAAGAGCGUGUAGGCGGCCAUACAGGUCAGCUGUGAAUACUCGAGGCUCAACCUCGAGACGUCGGUUGAAACCGUAUGGCUAGAGUCCGGAAGAGGAGAGUGGAAUUCCCGGUGUAGCGGUGAAAUGCGCAGAUAUCGGGAAGAACACCCGUGGCGAAGGCGGCUCUCUGGGACGGUACUGACGCUGAGACGCGAAAGCGUGGGGAGCGAACAGG
rnacentral:rRNA from 1 species